rnacentral:rRNA from 1 species
AAGUCCCGUAACGAGCGCAACCCUCGCUGCGUGUUACAAGUGUCACGCAGGACCGCCGGUAUUAAGCCGGAGGAAGGUGGGGAUGACGUCAAGUCAGCAUGGCCUUUACGCCUGGGGCUACACACACGCUACAAUGGGCAGUACAAUGGGUUGCUAAGCCGCGAGGUGGAGCCAAUCCCCCAAAACUGUCCUCAGUUCAGAUUGCAGGCUGCAACUCGCCUGCAUGAAGCCGGAGUUGCUAGUAAACGCGCGUCAGCUAUGGUGCGUUGAAUACGUUCUCGGGCCUUGUACACACCGCCCGU